rnacentral:rRNA from 1 species
AUGACGUCGGAGCCUUUCACAUGCAGUCGAACGGCAGCGCGAAGAAAGCUUGCUUUCUUUGGCGGCGAGUGGCGAACGGGUGAGUAAUAUAUCGGAACGUGCCCAGUAGCGGGGGAUAACUACGCGAAAGCGUGGCUAAUACCGCAUACGCCCUACGGGGGAAAGGGGGGGAUCGCAAGACCUCUCACUAUUGGAGCGGCCGAUAUCAGAUUAGCUUGUUGGUGAGGUAAAGGCUCACCAAGGCCGCGAUCUGUAGCUGGUUUGAGAGGACGACCAGCCACACUGGGACUGAGACACGGCCCAGACUCCUACGGGAGGCAGCAGUGGGGAAUUUUGGACAAUGGGGGAAACCCUGAUCCAGCCAUCCCGCGUGUGCGAUGAAGGCCUUCGGGUUGUAAAGCACUUUUGGCAGGGAAGAAAAGGCGCCGGAUAACACCUGGCGCUGAUGACGGUACCUGCAGAAUAAGCACCGGCUAACUACGUGCCAGCAGCCGCGGUAAUACGUAGGGUGCAAGCGUUAAUCGGAAUUACUGGGCGUAAAGCGUGCGCAGGCGGUUCGGAAAGAAAGAUGUGAAAUCCCAGAGCUUAACUUUGGAACUGCAUUUUUAACUCCCGAGCUAGAGUAUGUCAGAGGGGGGUAGAAUUCCACGUGUAGCAGUGAAAUGCGUAGAGAUGUGGAGGAAUACCGAUGGCGAAGGCAGCCCCCUGGGAUGAUACUGACGCUCAUGCACGAAAGCGUGGGGAGCAGGCAGGAUUAGAUACCCUGGUAGUCCACGCCCUAAACGAUGUCAACUAGCUGUUGGGGGCCUUCGGGCCUUAGUAGCGCAGCUAACGCGUGAAGUUGACCGCCUGGGGAGUACGGUCGCAAGAUUAAAACUCAAGGAAUUGACGGGGACCCGCACAAGCGGUGGAUGGAUGUGGAUUAGUUCGAUGCAACGCGAAAGACCUUACCUACCCUUGACAUGUCGUGGAGUUUCCGAAGAUUGGGAGAGUGCUCGUAGAGACCGGACACAGGUGCUGGCAUGGCUGUCGUCAGCUCUGUCGUGGAGAUGUUGGGGGUUAAGUCCCGCACGAGCGCACCCGUGGUCAUGAGGUGGCUAGCGAAGGGCACGUCUACUGAGACUGCAGUGACAGCGGAGAACGUGGAUGACGUCAGGUCUCAUGACCCUAUGGGUAGGGCGUCCACGCUCUACCAUGAUCGGUCAAGGUUCGCAAGCCCGAGCGAACCCAUUCCCGAAGAAGCCGA